AUGCCCUGUGCCUCGCUCGGUUGAAAUUUCCACCUCCAUAUUUCAAUCUUGAGCUGGAUGAAAAAAAAUAUUAUAUGAUUACACAUACAUAUAUUAUUAUUUCAAUGGGCUAUAUUGAAAAACUUCUUUGAGUACGAAUGCAUCGAUAAUUUCAAAUUCCACGAUGCACUUAUUUGUAAUUAGAACGUUUCACAUCU
rnacentral:snoRNA from 1 species